rnacentral:rRNA from 1 species
AUUGAACGCUGGCGGCAGGCCUAACACAUGCAAGUCGAGCGAGUGGCGGACGGGUGAGUAAUGUAUGGGGAUCUGCCCGAUGGCGGGGGAUAACUACUGGAAACGGUAGCUAAUACCGCAUACCAUCAGAUUGACCCAUAUGGGAUUAGCUUGUAGGUGGGGUAAAGGCUCACCUAGGCGACGAUCCCUAGCUGGUCUGAGAGGAUGACCAGCCACACGGGGACUGAGACACGGCCCAGACUCCUACGGGAGGCAGCAGUGGGGAAUAUUGCACAAUGGGGGCAAGCCUGAUGCAGCCAUGCCGCGUGUAUGAAGAAGGCCUUCGGGUUGUAAAGUACUUUCAGUCGGGAGGCGUUACCGGCAGAAGAAGCACCGGCUAACUACGUGCCAGCAGCCGCGGUAAUAC